UACGUAGGGUGCAAGCGUUGUCCGGAAUUAUUGGGCGUAAAGAGCUCGUAGGCGGUGUGUCGCGUCGGCCGUGAAAACCUGGGGCUCAACUCUGGGCGUGCGGUCGAUACGGGCAUCACUUGAGUUCGGCAGGGGAGACUGGAAUUCCUGGUGUAGCGGUGAAAUGCGCAGAUAUCAGGAGGAACACCGGUGGCGAAGGCGGGUCUCUGGGCCGAUACUGACGCUGAGGAGCGAAAGCAUGGGCAGCGAACAGG
rnacentral:rRNA from 1 species